rnacentral:misc_RNA from 1 species
GUUUUUUGACAUGUCAACAUUUUGUGUCUAAUAGGAAUGACUUUUGAACAAAUAGGGUAUUCAAUAGGAACAAAGAUAAGUUGAGGUGUUCAAAUGAAAUAUGCGGACAAUUUCAAAGGGCCGCAUAUGACUUAAACCUAAUAUAUGUGUUGCUCUGGUUAACAUAUCCCCAUGUCCUUAAAUCUAGUAUCCCGAUAUAUCCAGUGUAAUUCCCCAA